rnacentral:lncRNA from 1 species
GCAGGUUUUUGUUGAUGAUUUUUUAUGGAUUGGAUUGUAUGUAUAAGGAUUUUAUAUAGUCUCCCAUAACUCUUUUUACAGUGCCUCGUGUUUUGUAUAAAUUAUUUAAUAUAUGUUUAAAUUUGAUAAAAUUCCGUCAGUAUGGUAUAAAGGGAUUAUCAUACCUAUCCAAAAGUCUUCUACAUCGGUUCCCAGGCCGGGAUCCUUUGUCUUAUCGGGGAAUAACUUUGGCACCUUGUGCCUAUAAAUUAUAUUGUAGUAUUUUAAACAAUAGAUUGGUAAAUUGGUUAGAUCAUAUAGAUAUUUUACAUGAUGAACAAAAUGGGUUUCGUAAAAGUAGAAGUACUAUUGAUCAUUUCAGCACAAUUACGUCAAUUAUUGAGACAAGGAAAUGUAAAAUAGUGUCAACUUUUACUGUCUUU